UGGGAAUCUUGCACAAUGGAGGGAACUCUGAUGCAGCGACGCCGCGUGAGUGAAGAAGGUCUUCGGAUCGUAAAACUCUGUCCUUGGUGAAGAAAAGGACGGUAGCCAAGGAGGAAGCCCCGGCUAACUACGUGCCAGCCGCCGCGGUAAUACGUAGGGGGCGAGCGUUGUCCGGAUUUACUGGGCGUAAAGGGUGAGUAGGCGGUUAUAUAUGUCAGGUGUAAAAGGCUAUGGCUUAACCAUGGUUAGCACUUGAAACUGUAUGACUUGAGUGCAGGAGAGGUAAGCGGAAUUCCUAGUGUAGCGGUGAAAUGCGUAGAUAUUAGGAGGAACACCAGUGGCGAAGGCGGCUUACUGGACUGUAACUGACGCUGAGUCACGAAAGCGUGGGUAGCAAACA
rnacentral:rRNA from 1 species